rnacentral:rRNA from 1 species
AACGUAGGACGCAAGCGUUAUCCGGAGUUACUGGGCGUAAAGCGCGGGCAGGCGGCCAACCAAGUCUGAUGUGAAAUCUCUUCGCUCAACGGAGAGAGGCCAUUGGAAACUGGUCGGCUGGAGGGCAGUAGAGGUAGGCGGAAUUCCGGGUGGAGUGGUGAAAUGCGUAGAGAUCCGGAGGAACACCAGAGGCGAAGGCGGCCUACUGGGCUGCACCUGACGCUGAGACGCGAAAGCCAGGGGAGCGAACGGG